AGAACCAACCGGGAUUGCCUUAGUAACGGCGAGUGAAGCGGCAAAAGCUCAAAUUUGAAAUCUGGUACCUUCGGUGCCCGAGUUGUAAUUUGUAGAAGGUAACUUUGGGGCUGGUCCUUGUCUAUGUUCCUUGGAACAGGACGUCAUAGAGGGUGAGAAUCCCGUGUGGCGAGGAUCCCAGUCCUAUGUAAAGUGCUUUCGAAGAGUCGAGUUGUUUGGGAAUGCAGCUCUAAGUGGGUGGUAAAUUCCAUCUAAAGCUAAAUAUUGGCGAGAGACCGAUAGCGAACAAGUACAGUGAUGGAAAGAUGAAAAGAACUUUGAAAAGAGAGUGAAAAAGUACGUGAAAUUGUUGAAAGGGAAGGGCAUUUGAUCAGACAUGGUGUUUUGCGCCCUCUGCUCCUUGUGGGUGGGGGAAUCUCGCAGCUCACUGGGCCAGCAUCAGUUUUGGCGGUAGGAUAAAUCUGCAGGAAUGUAGCUUGCUUCGGCAAGUGUUAUAGCCUGUUGAAAUACUGCCAGCCGGGACUGAGGACUGCGACUUUUAGUCAAGGAUGCUGGCAUAAUGGUUAUAUGCCGCCCGUCUU
rnacentral:rRNA from 1 species